rnacentral:misc_RNA from 1 species
UACAGAGGUGGCAAGCGUUGUUCGGAUUCAUUGGGCGUAAAGGGUUCGUAGGCGGCUCGGAAAGUCAGAUGUGAAAUCCCACGGCUUAACCGUGGAACUGCAUUUGAAACUCCCGAGCUAGAGUGCGAGAGGGGUAACGGGAAUUCCCGGUGUAAGGGUGAAAUCUGCAGAGAUCGGGAAGAACACCAGUCGCGAAGGCGCGUUACUGGCUCGCAACUGACGCUGAGGGACGAAAGCUAGGGGAGCAAACGGG